rnacentral:rRNA from 1 species
CCCUUAGAUGUUCUGGGCCGCACGCGCGCUACACUGAUGCAUUCAACGAGCACCCGCUAGGCCGAGAGGUCCGGCUAAUCUUUGAACGUGCAUCGUGCUGGGGAUAGAUGAUUGCAAUUAUUCAUCUUCAACGAGGAAUUCCUAGUAAACGCAAGUCAUCAGCUUGCAUUGAUUACGUCCCUGCCCUUUGUACACACCGCCCGUCGCACCUACCGAUUGAAUGGUCCGGUGAAAUUCUCGGACGCGGACUUGCGAUGUUAAUUCGGAGCUUGACUGUGAAAGUUAAUUAAACCUUACCAUUUAGAGGAAGGUGAAGUCGUAACA